GGCAAGUGGGGCUUGGAUGGGAGCCGUAACUGCCUCCCAAUACCCCCAGAAAACUCUGGUCCUUGCUGGGAGCGGGGUGGGGGGGGCCUUUCUUUUUGCUACAUCCUCCACCAAAGCCCUUUGGUGGAGCAGAGCAGAGUAAGUAGGGCAACAGAGGGGAAGCGGGACCGAGCUUGGCAGGGUCCGCAGGCCCAGGACUGCAGGAAACUGGGGUAGGGGCUCCCCCUCAGAUGCCCUUAGCGCCGGCUGGCGCUGAAGGAAAUGAUUUCCACCUGCCUUCUCAGCAGCGCUGCCCCAAGGCUGCAGAUUAAGAAUCAAUUAAGAGCGGGAAGGAGGAUUUGCCAGGCGGAGGCGGUUGUGAAGAUUUAAACGUGUGCAGAUCUUAGAACAGUGCCUGGCACGCUGAAGAUGACAGAUCAGUGUUGGCUGGAAAAAAAGAAGAUGAAUGAUGGGGCUGAGCUCCGCCCCUCCCGCCCCCCAGAUGGUUGAUGGUCACUUACUAUGACACCGGAUGCAGGGAGAUGGCAGCUGUCUGCAAGCCAGGAAGAGAGCCCUCACUAGGAACUGAAUCUGCUAGCACCUUGCUCUUGGACUUCCCAGCCUCCAGAACUGUGAGAAGUGAAAGUCUAAGCCACGCCAUCCAUGGUAUUGUUAUAAUAGCCUGAGCUGACUAGGACAGAAGGGAACCUAGCCUACCAAGUUGGUCACCUUCAUAGUAUGCAAAGCCAGCUCCUCACAUGCCAGCUAGAAUGCAGUCCUAAAAACUGAAUCCCACCCCCUACGAGUUCCAACUGACCUCCCUCUGCCCCCACAAUUCCAACUCACAAAUCCCCCCAUCCUCACCACUUUUGAAUUCCUCCUUGCCAAGAUGAUCCUUUGUGAUUUCUAAUUAUUUAUCUGAUGAGUAAUAUGUUUAUAUUGUUCAAAAAUUUUAAACAUACAAAGAGGUGUUCUUCGAAAGGUCUUCUUU